GAUGAACGCUGGCGGCGUGCCUAAUACAUGCAAGUCGAGCGAACAGACGAGGAGCUUGCUCCUCUGACGUUAGCGGCGGACGGGUGAGUAACACGUGGAUAACCUACCUAUAAGACUGGGAUAACUUCGGGAAACCGGAGCUAAUACCGGAUAAUAUAUUGAACCGCAUGGUUCAAUAGUGAAAGACGGUUUUGCUGUCACUUAUAGAUGGAUCCGCGCCCCAUUAGCUAGUUGGUAAGGUAACGGCUUACCAAGGCAACGAUGCGUAGCCGACCUGAGAGGGUGAUCGGCCACACUGGAACUGAGACACGGUCCAGACUCCUACGGGAGGCAGCAGUAGGGAAUCUUCCGCAAUGGGCGAAAGCCUGACGGAGCUACGCCGCGUGAGUGAUGAAGGUCUUCGGAUCGUAAAACUCUGUUAUUAGGGAAGAACAAAUGUGUAAGUAACUAUGCACGUCUUGACGGUACCUAAUCAGAAAGCCACGGCUAACUACGUG
rnacentral:rRNA from 1 species